rnacentral:lncRNA from 1 species
CUCAAGAUGCAUUAAAGAUUUAAACGUGAGACCUAAAACCAGAAAAAUCCUAGAAGAAAACCUAGGCAAUACCAUUGAGGACAUAAGCAUGGGCAAAGACUUUCAUGACUAAAACACCAAAAGGAAUGGCAACAAAAGCCAAAAUUGACAAAAGGUUUCCUUAACGACAACAAAAAAGGGAGUAAUCCUACCUACUGUAAGAGUCAUGACUCUUGAUUGCAGCUGACAGAAACUCAUGACAGCCUGGUUUAGAUAAAGGGGGAGAGAAGGACUGGAAGAAUCUUGGAGUUGGGAAUGUCGCACGUAAUUGAAGGAAGAACAAGAAAACUAUAGCAGCUAUUCCCAACCCCAGAACCUUUGCUGUCUUGGAACAGAUCACCACUGCAAGAGGGGAAGUUGCUACUGUGAUGAAUUCUGCCAUGUGGUACCAGACUGCUACCCAGACCACAGUGUCCUCUGCAACCCUCGUAACUCACAUACAGGCCUGAUUCCACCUACAGCAAAGCUGGAUGCUAUGGUUGGCAGAGGCAAACCCUUUGCCUGCACUUCAGGCCAAAGCCGGGAUGUGGCCUAGAUGGUUCCUAAGGUCCCUGACAAUCCUGAGAUCUUGCAUCUUGUCUAUUUCAGGUCAAAGGUGCCUACAUGUUCCUUCUAGCUUUGUUUCCCUGAUGUUCCUUGCCACCUGCUACUCCUCUCUGAGCUA